rnacentral:lncRNA from 1 species
CCAUCUAUAAUCUCUAAUUUGAUUCUUGCAUUACCUAGAAAAUAGAUGUGAUUGGUUUUAUACCUCUUUCACUAUUCUCACCUUCUCAAUCUAGUUCGAAUCAUUAUCAUUACCAAUGAUUACAAAUGAAGUGCCCAAUCUUUUUUUUCUAAGGUUAGGGGAGCCUAGUUUCAUCUGUUUUCUGUUAUCAAAACCUUUACUAGCUUAUAAGUUGGUAUUUUAUAUUUGACAUAUUUGAUAAAUAU